rnacentral:lncRNA from 1 species
GUCAGUAAUUUCUCCCCUAGCAAGAAUGAGGAAGAUGAAGAGCUCGGGUAUCUGAGGGCUGGUGUGUCUGCAUGCGUGUGUGUUUUGGGGGCCGACUGAAGGAAGAGAAGGCUGGAGAGAGGGAACAUGGGUCUGAGGGCACAUCGCUAAGGGGUCAAGAGGCCUAAAGGAGGAGUCUAAGGCUCUCCAUCGAACUUGGACUUGGUCUACAUUAGACUUUAACCUCCAUGAGGCUUGGACUUUCAGGCUUCCUCCCUCACACCGCGGGCAGGUGAGGCGUCUGCUACAGGCCUGGUCUCGCAGAGGGGGCCCAGCGCCCCCCGCCGCCGCCUUCUCCUGGAGUCUGUGUGACAGAAUGGGACCUGUGGGAAAGCAGCACGUCAGCACCCAGCCCCGCUUGCGCGCCAGCAGCUAAUUAAAGCCAGGAAGGUGAUGGCGAUUUUCAACUCAUUCCCGUUACAAACAGCCGACCUUCCUACCGAGUUCAAGUACCUUCUGCCUGGCCUGGAAGAACAAUAUCUCUCUGUCUCCCUCUUCCACUGGCCCUCACCUGCCUUCCCCUGAACAUGCAUUUUGCCUGACAGGAGACAGAGGCAGUUGAGAUGGAGUCUUGCUAUAUGGCCCAGCUGGUAAUGCCUAGAUUCUUGAGUCCCUCCCUGGCUCAUCCCUGGGAGCAGCACUGAACCCCUUGUCUGACACCUGUCUGGAAAUGGAGCCUGCACAUUGACCCUAGAUGCUUGCAGCUUGGUCCAGGAGGCCAGCAGGACCAGAGAGAAGACCACAGCGACACAUGGGGAUGGCUGUCCCACAGGCAGAAAUGAGCAGCCGGGAGGAAGCCCAGGCAGCCAGCCACCCAGCUCCCUCCACAUCGUGGCCCUAGAACGGAGUCUUGAAGAAUAAGAAGCCACAGCUUGUCAGGGAAUCAGGCUGGAAAAAUGUUAUGAGACUGAGUAAGACCAGAGUUUCUGGGUCAUUGGUGAGACUGGAUUUCAUAGAAGAGUCUUUGCUACAGCAAAACCUCUCUUCAAGCAAUACACUAUUCAAGCUGCUGGAGGCUAGAUUGACCAGAAAAAUGGGGCCAAUAUCAUGCCUCUUAUGGAGGAGCAGUGUUGAACUUAAUGGAGCAUCUCUGCACUCUUCAAGCUGCUGGAGAAUGAUUCCUCAGCAGUGCCUGGAGAAGACCAGGAGAGGAAGCAGAAGACCCUCCUCAAAGAAGCAGCCUUCACCUCCAGACCUCCCAGCGGGACUUAGACAAUGGGGUUAGGCAGUCACAUGUCUGCACGUGGAAACUUUCUGGGACUGUGCUUGGAUCCUGGCUCUGCCUUUUACUAGCCAUGUGACCUUGGGAAAAUCACUUGACUUCUCCGUGCAGGAUUCCUCAUCUGUAAAAAUGGUCUAAGAUUAGGAGCCACCUCAAGGUUGUUGUAGGAAUUAAAUUAAUUCAUGUUUAUAAAGUGCUUUGAACAGCGUUUGGCACAUGGUAAGUGCUAUGUGGUAAGUGCUGUCUAUUGAUUACAUAAAUAAAAGUGAUCACCAUUAGACUUUC